rnacentral:rRNA from 1 species
AAUCUGACCUCAAAUCAGGUAGGGCUACCCGCUGAACUUAAGCAUAUCAAUAAGCGGAGGAAAGGAAACUAACAAGGAUUCCCUUAGUAACGGCGAGUGAACCGGGAAGAGCUCAAAUUUGUAAUCUGGCGUGCUCUGUGCGUCCGAGUUGUAAUCUAUAGAAGUGUUUUCCGCGCCGGAUCGUGUCCAAGUUCCUUGGAAUAGGAUAUCACAGAGGGUGACAAUCCCGUCCUUGACACGACUACCGGUGCUCUGUGAUACACCUUCUACGAGUCGAGUUGUUUGGGAAUGCAGCUCAAAAUGGGUGGUGAGUUCCAUCUAAAGCUAAAUAUUGGCGAGAGACCGAUAGCGAACAAGUACCGUGAGGGAAAGAUGAAAAGCACUUGAAAGAGAGUAAACAGUA